rnacentral:lncRNA from 1 species
AGUACCCCAUUCCUUGCUGCAAUGUAAUUAUAUUUAAUUACAAGUGUGCCCCUGGUAGUCUUUAACUGAAGGGCACUGACUGGGUCACUGGUGAAGUUCCCCGCAGGAACUGAGUCAGACCCCAUCUCAGGGCCCUGCACAAGAUAGGUGCCUGCUCUAAGGCGUGGACCCUCGCCACAGCCCUGGCCCGUCUUGACGGGCGAGGGUUACUGUACUUGUCCCAACCGUACAGAUGAGAAAGCUGAGACUCAGGGCCAGCAACCCGGGUCCCAGCGGAGCGCCCGGCACACGCCGACACUUCAGCACCAGUGGCGGUGGCCACCACUGUGGGCGGAGAUGGCUGCGACGCGUGCGCAGAUACCUGGGAGAGAGGAUUUUUCAUGUUACCAACACAAAGAAAUGAUAAAGUGCUUCCCUUGCAGGUGAAAUGGCCACCAGACCCAGGCUUUCUGGAAUGCAUUCAUUUUCUGCAGUUGAAAGGGACAAUCCCGGAUCUGAAAGAAAGAGCCACAGUGACUCCAAGAGUGGAGCCAGGGCAUGCUGGACACUGCAUAGCUAUGGCCACGUGUGUCACCUCCGAGGGAGAUGUGAGAGAAACGCAGAGGGAUCGCUUGUGACUGUGCCUUCUCGAUGUAUGAUGGACUGUUCUGCUCAAAUAGUAAGUGUGACCAAGGAGCCGGUGAACAUAGGAAACAAAGAAUAUUUCAUUUGACAUUAUAAGGAAUGCGACAAUUCUAGUCACUUGAAAGUGAACUAUAUCUGUCGAGAAUUCCUAGUUUUAAUUGGGAAGAAAUGUGCUUCUCUUCUUGAAAAGCCACAGGUUAUUGCUGUUAUGUCUAAUAUCAGUCCUCUCUGGAUUUCUCAAAAGAUUUUCUGUAUAUCCUACCAUUUUCCUUCUGUUGCUGCAGUUUGGAAGUAGUUUGUUAUCAGGAUUAUCAAAGCAUCAUUGCUAUUUAUGACAAUGACUUUAAGAAAUGCAAGAAUAUUUGGAACACUGUAGAAAAAAUAUUUUAGCCUGGAAGGCAAAUACUAAUUUCAGGAACUAUUGAUCUGUUAUAAAACAGGACCACUCAGACAUUUAGCUCUAAGACUUUCACAUAUCCGUUGUUAGAGGCGUAUAGUGGGGGGCAUGACUCAGCUUCUGCUUAAGUACAAGGUGUUGUCUGCAGCGAAGGAAGAAUUUGAUUGUAGUAUCAACAGAACCAGACAGAACUCUUUGAAUAUAAUUAUAUAUCUUGGAAACUGACUCAUCAAAGCUAUUAGAUUACAUGGCAUCAUUUAAGCAUCA